rnacentral:rRNA from 1 species
UGGGGAAUAUUGCACAAUGGGCGAAAGCCUGAUGCAGCGACGCCGCGUGCGGGAUGACGGCCUUCGGGUUGUAAACCGCUUUCGGCAGGGAAGAAGCCGCAAGGUGACGGUACCUGCAGAAGAAGCGCCGGCUAACUACGUGCCAGCAGCCGCGGUAAUACGUAGGGCGCAAGCGUUGUCCGGAAUUAUUGGGCGUAAAGAGCUCGUAGGCGGUUCGUCGCGUCUGCUGUGAAAUCCUCAGGCUCAACCUGGGGCGUGCAGUGGGUACGGGCGGACUAGAGUGCGGUAGGGGUGACUGGAAUUCCUGGUGUAGCGGUGGAAUGCGCAGAUAUCAGGAGGAACACCGAUGGCGAAGGCAGGUCACUGGGCCGCAACUGACGCUGAGGAGCGAAAGCAUGGGGAGCGAACAGGAUUAGAUAGCCCUGGUAGUCCAUGCCGUAAACGUUGGGCACUAGGCUGUGGGGUCCAUUCCACGGAUUCCGUGCCGCAG